rnacentral:rRNA from 1 species
AGCAUAUCAAUAAGCGGAGGAAAAGAAACCAACAGGGAUUGCCCUAGUAACGGCGAGUGAAGCGGCAACAGCUCAAAUUUGAAAUCUGGCGCAAGCCCGAGUUGUAAUUUGUAGAGGAUGUUUCUGGCGACGCGCCUUCCGAGUUCCCUGGAACGGGACGCCAUAGAGGGUGAGAGCCCCGUACGGUUGGAUGCCUAGCCUCUGUGAAACUCCUUCGACGAGUCGAGUAGUUUGGGAAUGCUGCUCUAAAUGGGAGGUAUACGUCUUCUAAAGCUAAAUACCGGCCAGAGACCGAUAGCGCACAAGUAGAGUGAUCGAAAGAUGAAAAGCACUUUGAAAAGAGGGUUAAAAAGUACGUGAAAUUGUUGAAAGGGAAGCGUUCAUGACCAGACUUGGGCAGGUUGAUCAUCCGUGGUUCUCCGCGGUGCACUCUGCCUGCCCAGGCCAGCAUCAGUUCGCCCCGGGGGAUAAAGGCUUUGGGAAUGUGGCUCCCUCGGGAGUGUUAUAGCCCACUGCGUAAUACCCUGGGGUGGACUGAGGUUCGCGCUCUGCAAGGAUGCUGGCGUAAUGGUCAUCAACGACCCGUCUUGAAACACGGACCAAGGAGUCGUCUUCGUAUGCGAGUGUUCGGGUGUCAAACCCCUACGCGUAAUGAAAGUGAACGUAGGAGAGAGCUUCGGCGCAUCUCCGACCGAUCCUGAUGUUCUCGGAUGGAUUUGAGUAAGAGCAUACGGGGCCGGACCCGAAAGAAGGUGAACUAUGCCUGUAUAGGGUGAAGCCAGAGGAAACUCUGGUGGAGGCUCGCAGCGGUUCUGACGUGCAAAUCGAUCGUCAAAUAUGGGCAUGGGGGCGAAAGACUAAU